CUUGGUCAUUUAGAGGAAGUAAAAGUCGUAACAAGGUCUCCGUUGGUGAACCAGCGGAGGGAUCAUUAAAGAGUUGCAAAACUCCCAAACCAUUGUGAACUUACCUUCAACGUUGCUUCGGCGGGUUGGCUCCGGGUCUCCCGGGGCCCCCGGCCCUCACGGGCGCCCGCCGGAGGUAUCUAACUCUUGAAAUUGUAUGGCCUCUCUGAGUGAUUUAUAAAUAAGUCAAAACUUUCAACAACGGAUCUCUUGGUUCUGGCAUCGAUGAAGAACGCAGCGAAAUGCGAUAAGUAAUGUGAAUUGCAGAAUUCAGUGAAUCAUCGAAUCUUUGAACGCACAUUGCGCCCGCCAGUAUUCUGGCGGGCAUGCCUGUUCGAGCGUCAUUUCAACCAUCAAGCCCCAGGCUUGUGUUGGGGACCUGCGGCUGCCGCAGGCCCUGAAAACCAGUGGCGGGCUCGCUAGUCACUCCGAGCGUAGUAAUACAUCUCGCUCAGGGCGUGCUGCGGGUUCCGGCCGUUAAAAGCCUUAUUUACCCAAGGUUGACCUCGGAUCAGGUAGGAAGACCCGCUGAACUUAAGCAUAUCAAUAAGCGGAGGA
rnacentral:rRNA from 1 species